UUCCGGCGCGAGCCGCGGUCUUAGCAAACCGUCUCGAAAUCGUCGGGAGAAAUAAACCCCUAACGUCGUCUUCUAGUCAGGCAUUACUUUAUCCUUGCCCAGGAUCCUUCUGUGCGUGCCCGACAAAAUUUCGGCCUCCACACAGAAGCUGUUAAAAAAACCUUUCUCACUUAUUUAUACAUUUUUAACAGAUUAAUGCUCCCUGGUUCUAAAUUACAUAAUUCGUCAUUUCCAACAUGGGAGGCGCCUCAGGGCGGCUGAGGGGCUGCCGUGCCCUGAGUUGUCACGGGCUAUCCUGCUGUGCAGCCCUCCCUCUUCCCUGCCACUAGUUCACUUUUCUCGUUAAUUUUCAAUUAAUUAUUCUAAUUAAUCACAAUCAGGAUGUUAACUAUAAGCAGUGCACUAGUGUGUGCACUAGACCUGUAGGAAAGCAUGGUCCAGAAACCUGCUGCACGGUGCCUGGUUGGGAUGAUCAUCGGAAAUACCUUCGCGACAGGGUGGAAGUCACCCGGAGACAAAGGGUUCUACCCAGCCCUUUUCGGCCUAAAUGCUGAAAAUAAAGAUGGUGCUUUUGUCCCAGUGGGGGGCAGAGAACAAGAAUCCAGCGCUGCCUUGCCAAGACACACUCGAUUUGAGCUGAAAAGGUCACUGCCCGUGUGAUUGCAUCAGCACGGCCGCCGAAGGGAUGAGGCUGGGACAGGCUGGCUGCUCUUACCAAGGGUGAGGCACUUCACGUGGAGUUUGCUGAAAAGAACCAGGAAACUCCAAUACUGCUAUCAUGCUGAAAUGUGCCUCGAACAGAGGUGUUCUCCCCAGUGAGGAGGAUGCUGAAAAAUGUAUCAGAACGCCCAUUUUUUAAUACUCAUGGAAUGAAUGAGAAUCCUUGCCAUAAACUAUUUCUGAUGUGUUGUGCCCAUCUCCAGCACAAUGGCCAAAGGUGGCUGUUUAAUGUAACUAGAACAUUAACAGAGGAUUUGCAGGUAUGAUGCAUAAGGAAGGUUCAUCUCCAGGCAUCAAAGAGGUCUGGUAGAUAUACACCCAUUUCCCUGAAGAGACGGAUCAACACAACAUCUUAUAGAAGGUGGGGCAGUGUUCUUAUCUCUUCUGUGACACAUCCCUGAUAACUUCCUCUGGAGGGAUAUCUUCUGUUAAUGGGCCAUUGAGUCUCACUGCAUGACUGAUAAAAUUGCAUCAUCCCACUGUGAGAUGCUCUGCCCAGAGGUAGGAGCCAAGCAUUCCUACCUGGAUGUAAUCUGAAGUUUGGAACACCAUGGGCAGCCUUUCUCCACUAGAUUCCCAGAGGACAAGAGCUGCAUUCACCACUGGACCUUCAGAGGAAGAUCCAACUCUUCUACAGGAUCACCACUUCAAGAGAACUACAUCUAUCACUUCAACAGGACUGCAGAAGCCAUUUAAUUGAACUGCUACCACCAUCCUGACCAACUGGCUGUCAGAAUUAUUUUCAGCUAGAUCCUUCUCCAGACCUGGCCAAGACUGCAGUCUCAGAACUGCUGAAGCUGCAGUAAUCUCUCAAACUGAUGAGGACAAUGUUGGGAGGAGUACAGAAGAGUUAGAGCAGGAGUGAAUACUCAUCUCUUGGUCACCAAAUCUACUGUUUCCAGGAAAUAAAUUAGACACACCUUGAAAGCAGCAUCAUCCAAGGGAAGUCCAAAGAUCUUUCAGUGACCCAUCCAGAGUGGUGUGGGGAGGAAGAGCCAGCUGGCACUUCGUCAGUUUUUCUGUGUGAAUCAGUUUUGUGUGUUAUACUUUUUGUUAUUAAUAUUGUUGCUGUUGCAGUUCAAUUUUCUUACCUCAUUCCUGCUUUCAGUAAAUUGUUCUUAUCUCAACCUGUAAUUUUUAUCUUUUUAUCCUGCAAUUCUCAAUGCCAUCCCCACAGUGGGAAAAGGCAGAAGAAUGGGAGAGUGAGCAAGCAGUGUCUGGUUUGGGAGAGUCUUGGGGAGGGGGGUACUUACCUGGGGAGUGCCAUCCCUAAAACAGACACCUAUAAAAUACAGUAUCACAAUCACCAAUAAUAAAAAUUAACUUUAUUUCUUUAUUUAUUUAUUUAUUAUUAUUAUUAUUAACUUCAGCCUAUGCAAAGUACGAAGUUAUUGACUAAACUGGUCCUUUCUCUCUUACAUGUAACCAAGUGCCAUUGAGAAGGGACUACUCAGAGGUUCCAUUGUGUUUUGAUAAACAUCUUGUCUCAAGAGGUAGAAAAACUGUGGGAGGAACAUGGAUGUAAAUUGCUCUAGUCUGAAAAGUGAGUGGAAGUAGGAGCAGAAUUAACAUUCAGUAACCACUGCUGCCCUUCAAGAAAGCAUCUCACGGCCCUUCAGAGUAACUUGUUUCUUGUGAACCCAGCUGGCAAUUAAAAUGGAAGUCCUGGAGUGAAGAAGGAACCAAGGAAAAGGAAAGAACCAGCAUAACUUGAAAUUCAUGGAUAUUGGAGAGUCUUAGCUGGGACCAGUGAGAUGCAGCCAGACUCCAGCACAUGAAGGAAGGAUCAGUAUUUGCAUUCAGUAAAUUAGGAGAAUAGAAGUAUUUCCCAGUGAUGGGGCUUCCUCAAGGCCUUCCUGCCUAUCUGUGGCAGAUCUGUGAAAAAUGAAGAUAAAAAUCCCAUGAAUCCCAAAAAAGGUAAUGAAAUGGGGAGACCCAGCUGCCAGAUCUCUGGGGUUUUGGUGUGUGGCUUUGGUUGGAGGGAGUAUUGUAACUAAUGUAAGUGGAAAAAUUCCUACAAUCUCCUUUACUGGCUUUACAUAUGCAGCACAGGAUGUAAAAAUGCCGAUGCCCUAGAGAAGGCUCUUUUUAAAACCCCUUCUUUUUACCUAAACAUCAUAAUAAAUCUGGAAUUUGCUCUCCAAAAAAUGAAGAAUGAAAAUAAUAACCCAAAAAUAAUCAGAAAUUGGUGCUGUACUGUAAACAAAAAAAAAAGCCCACAGUGAAAUGAUGGAAAAAUCCUGCAUAAACUUGAUCACCCAACAUUUUCUACAUUUCUACAUUGUUUUCUACAUUUCAUAUAAUAUUUUAAAUCAAGACAAUCAGAUAUAAGUCUGUAAUGAAAGUUAUACUAGCAUAUCAGUCUUAAUUCUGAUUUAUGUUAACCAAGAUUUGGCCAUAUCAUGGAGUGUGGCUCUUUGCCCAUUCCCCUAUCUAACUGCAACAACAGAACCAAAACUCCCCUCACAAACCAAAUUUUUAGUCAGUUUUAUGCAUUUAUUCCUUCUACCCCAAUGUAUCUUUCUGCUCUGCACUUUCUGCAUCUCUGAUUAUUACAAUUUCUAUUAUGUUUUAGGUACAGUCUUAGUCAGGAUACAACCCUCUGCUUUCUUUUACUGUAAAUUAGUGCAGUAUUUUGUGUGGGAACAUAUAUAGGUGUAGAGAUAGAAACAGUCAUCUUAAAGUUCACAAAAUGAAUGUAAGUCAGACUUUUCUGCAGUUCAAUAUAUUUAUGAAGGACAACCUACCAUUUUUGUUGCAGCUUCAGUUAAGCUGUGUGGGAAUGUAGUUCUACUGUGCCAAGUAGUUUCUGACAUAUCCAUUACUUUAACAAAAGUCUAUUCUGUAGCUUAUGUACAGCUUGAGAAUGAAGGGAGAGAGUAGUGCCUGCUGCAUCAUCCAGCUCUGGGUACUGCAUGAAAUCCUCUUUUUUGGAAACUCAUGGUCACCAUUAAGGUUUUUCUUGCCCAAAUUCUAGUCCUUCCUUGCCUGUUAUCUGUGUCUGUGAUUUAGACAGCAGGUGUGUGUCCUGGGGUAGGGCCUGGCAGUGUGGGGGCAGGCAAGGGAUGAAUGGGACUGGUGUGUGGACUAGAGAGUGAGUGCCCAUGCUCCAGCAGCAGCAUUUCCCUCCAGUUUACCAGGAUGUCUGACACUUCCUGCUAUCACUUCACCUAACACACUCUUCCAGCCCAGCAGCAUAAAUUCAGUAUCACAAGAGCCUCUUUUUACCCCAAUUUACCUUUUUGGACUUGUCAACAAGCAAGGGCUCUGUAUGGUCAACUCCUGCAUUGCUUUGUAUCCCCUGCCAUUUAAGAGCAUCUUUCCUGUAAUUCUUUAAGGAAGCCCUCACCCUCCUGUAAAGAUACUUUUUCUUAGAGUACAAAUUGAUAUCUUUAGGAGCCAAGUGUGGGAAACAAAACACAAGUUGUAGUUCAACUAUAAAUUAAAAUCAGUAUUCCAAGGAAUAACUCUGUUUGUGUAUGGGACUCUGUUUACUUGCAGUAACAUUGUGAGGAAUCAGAUAUUCUAAUUGACGCUUUCCCUGUGGCAUGUCUAGUAUUUUUAAGUGUCAGCCCUAGGGAUGUCAGCCACAGUUGUGAGGCACCAGAUUUAUACAUAGGAUUGACUUAGUCCUUCUCCUCAAGCCCUUGACCAUCUCAUAACUUUCAACUCUUCAGCUGAGAACUGUGGGUUCUCAGUAAUCAGGAGAUGAAAAUGAAGGGGCCAUAAAGGGAAGGGGUGUUUUACCUUGGAGACUUGGUUUUCCUUCCUAGCUUCCUCAAGGCAUCCAUUGAACUACUUUGGAAAUCUCUGAACCUCACUUUGCCUCAGCUGCUCCAUCUAUAUGCACUUGUCUCUUAAGUCUCUUCAAAAUCAGGUAAUGAUAGUCUAAGCGUGGGCUGUUGAUGCUGAGCACACAGUGAUGCUGUUAAACUCUAAAAUAAUUUUGUUGCUCUUACCAGUUCAUCUUGGAAUUACUGGCAUGGUAAAUCUGUAUAUCCCAUGACUAAUUUACAAUAACUGGAACUGAAACAUGUACAAAUUGUUACUUUCCCAGCUCUGGUUCACAAAGAUGUGAAAUGCAGAAUGACCACACCAAUGUUUCAGAUCAAUUGAUCAGCAGCAAAAAGGUGGGGAGCUGAAGUGCUCUUGUCCAUUAUGCAGAGAUAGUAACUUUUUUGCUUUUUUUUUGCAAAAAAGACAAUAACUUUUUGCUCCCCAAAAGCAGCAAAAAGUCAGCUUUAAAUUAACCACUGCCCAGGCAAAAACCUGACUUUGCAUAAGUCUUAAUGAUGUUGUGCAGAGGAGCUGAGCAGCACAGUUGACUCUUCUGUGAGAAGAGUCUUCCCAGGUUGGCAUGGAGGGUGAGGAGCUCCAAGCUGCUCCCAUGGAUGGGAGCCAAGAGAAGGACCUGCACUAAUUCCUGCUAAUUGCCUCUUAGCAGGCAUGGCUCUGUGUGGGCUGCUCAAGAAAAAGCCACCUUCAAAAGUCAGCUCCAGCAGAAAAAAAAAAUCAAAUUCCACAGCACUAAGGACACCCAAACAUGAAAUUUGUAUUCACUGGCCAACAACAGUCACUGUUAGACCACCCACCACUUCUCCUGUGUCACAGGUAAUCAAGGGCUGGUCAAAGCUUGGUGCACUGGCAGUGGUUUUUCUGCUGCCUGUAUUUUUCCCUCACUGUGCACAGGGGACUGCUAUGGGAGAGAUGGGAAUGCAAUCAGAAGCUGCACAAAGUGUAUCAAGGAAUACAGCCAGGGCAGCCAGUAUUCUCUUUACUUGUUGCAGCUCUGUGAGGAGAAUCAUAAUCUCUGUGUAUAUGUGGAAAAAAGGUCCCAACAAAAAACCUACAGUGAUAGAAUAACUUGCAAAAGGCAGGAAAUUCAGAGCUCACAUGGCAGCCCUGCACUCCCUGUGCAGCUCAGAGAGUCAGACUAGCUCAGCUAGCACUGGGGGAUUUCAGCCACAGAAGGAAGUUCAAAUGCUCUCUCAGCAGAUGCCUGCUGUUUGGAGAAUCUCCACCCAAAUGCUUGCCUACUGAGUAGUUAAAUUUGACAAGCAGCUUUCGUCCCUAUUUCUGUGCUACUUUUCAUCAGCUUAGUGUAUAUCCCUCUUGUUGCUGUACUGCCUUGUUUUGAUAACUUCAUUUCUUUAGCCUGCCUGUCCCCUUGUUCUGCUUCCAAGUGCUCUGUUUCCCAGAUUCCUUCCAAUACAUUUUGUAGCACUAGAGAAAUUCUUUAAUUUCCAUAGGACUCUGCUGCUCUCUGCUCACCAAAGGAGCAUCUGAACAGAUUCACUCUUGUAUCAGCUGCUGAAGUUUGUUUAUUUGGCACCCAGGAGAGGUGAAAACAGAAAUGAUAGGAUUUUCCAUGUCUUCUGAAAAAGUUUAGUUUGAAUAUCAGUCUCAUGCCUAAAUUUUGUCCUAAUUUAUGUAAGACUGUAAGUCCCACUUUUGCUUCUUUCUGAUGUUACUAGUUCUCAGUAUGGGCUGCAGUAAGACUGAUAGUGAAAGAACCUGAAUUCUCUACAGUAGAAUUUGUAGCUUAUCAUAUUCAAUAAUAUGAAAGUAAGUUAUAAAGUUUAAACCAUUUAUCUAAAUUAAUAGGGAAAUAAAGCUAUGGUGAAAGAUGAUAAAACACAUAAAGAUAAUUCAAUAUUUAAUAUCUUACAUCCUGCUGGACUGAAUUUAUUAAUGAGGUUUAGAUCUAAAUGCUAUCCUGUCUCGGGUGGGACAAGUCAACUCUUUUCCUAUGACACAAUACCUAUAAUGAUGGAAGAAUCUUUCCAAUCUAAAUAAAUUUGAAGCUUAGCAAGAACAUAAUUGCCAUGUACCUAGCCAUGUGCAUUCCUGUAAUUUGGUCCAAGAUCAAUUUCCCAGAGUAGGUGAAAAUUUGUGGAUUAACACACAGACAUGCAGACACACACACAUGCUACAAAGGCUAGAUCUCUGCAAAUAACUUGUUUCCUUCUCAAAGUGCAAGCAAGCUAUAAAAAGAAUAGUUUGGAGACAAAGAAACCAAGCAAUGUUAAUGUCAAGAUGCCACUAUAAAGAGAUACUUUAGUUAAAACAGAAAACUUUUAUAUGUGACUUCAUGUCUUCAUGAUUAAAUUUACUUCCAGCAAAACUCUAAGACCAGUCUGAACUGAUUAAAGGAAGUUCUACUUGGAAUUUCUUCUGGCUAAAACAAGUUAAUUGUAAUCAGAAUUUCAAUCACUUCUUCAAAAACUUCUGUUUCUUGAGUGAAGAAUUUAUAAAAAUUAAUAAAAAUAAUCUGCUUUGUUCAUGUCACAAUCAAAUGGCAAAACAUGACCAAAUAUCACCCACACAUAGAGGAGGGCAAGGAAAACUUCUGAGUGUUCCAACAGGAAGGGUUUAAUGUAGAGUUUUGGGGAAAUGAAAGUACUGAUAAUCACCUCAAAAUUGUAAAUAACCUCCUUGAAAGCAGAUGUCAGUUAAGCAGAGAAUUUAAUCAGAAAAAUAAGUGUUACUUUAAAGACAUUUUUGGGAUUUAAAAAUAAAAGGGAGAAAAAAGCAAAUAAGUUUAGAUAAAGUUUUCAGAGAAAAAUUCAAUGCUUCCAUUUUUGAUACAGUUGUAAUUCCAGGGGAGAGAAGCUGCAGUCCACAAAAAAUUGUACUUAAAAAUAAAUUUCUUGUUGAAAACUUGCUUUGAUUAUUUUUCUUUUUCUUAAGAGUUCCUAGCUGGCUUGGUAGAAAUAGCUAUAUUCUAAA